UACAGAGGUCCCAAGCGUUGUUCGGAUUCACUGGGCGUAAAGGGUGCGUAGGCGGUCGGGUAAGUCUGGCGUGAAAUCUCCAAGCCUAACUUGGAAACUGCGUUGGAUACUAUCCGGCUCGAGGAAUGGAGGGGAGACUGGAAUACUUGGUGUAGCAGUGAAAUGCGUAGAUAUCAAGUGGAACACCAGUGGCGAAGGCGGCGAUCUGGGAAGAUACUGACGCUGAGGUGCGAAAGCGUGGGGAGCAAACAGG
rnacentral:rRNA from 1 species